AGGCCGGCGUGUCACGUGGCCGAGCGGCGUCCGGGGCGCGGAGCUGCGGGCCGUUGGGCAUGGACUCUCAGAUCGCCGGGGCCCCGGCGCUGGGGGCGGCAGAGCCGCCGCCGGGUCUGCCGGUGCUGAGCACGCGGGAGGCGCCCCCCCGCUUGGGGGCUGCCUUUGCCCCAGCUGGCCGCUCCGGUCAGGAGAGAGAGACCGAGAAGGCUGCGGAUCGACUAGGCAACGGAGCACAGAGCAUCCCUCAUGAUAGUCCUGCCCACGGUGAGGGCAGCCAUUGUGAAGAGGAAGGCUUUGCUGUGGAUGACGAGGAUUCCGAUGGGGAACCGAACCCCUGGGAGCUGUCAGAAGGGGUGUCCGGCUGUCCACCCAGGGAACAGGCUGCUGAUCUUUUUAACGAGGACUGGGACUUGGAGUUGAAAGAAGAUCAAGGGAAUCCAUAUGAUGCUGACGACAUCCAGGGCUGCCUUUCUCAAGAGGUCAGACCCUGGGUGUGCUGUGCCCCGCAAGGAGACAUGAUCUAUGACCCCAGUUGGCACCAUCCACCUCCACUGAUACCCCAUUAUUCCAAGAUGGUCUUUGAAACGGGACAGUUUGAUGAUGCCGAAGACUGAGGGCAUAGCUUUUGCCUGGCGGUCAGGACCAUCUGGCAAAAGGUGCCCAGGCCUUGAUCAUGCCGAGAACCUGAUGGACCCAGAGGGGCCGUGGGACAAGGAGGACCCGUGAAGAUGGGUAUUGGAUGACGUCAUGCACUGCUUGAGGAAGUGAGAACCCCAGAAGGCCCAGAUGGAAGCUCGGGGUCGGAAAUUGGGAUGGUCAGAGAGACAAGUUUUGCUUCUUGAACCCCCAAGAUGCAGGAGAUGCAGAGUUAACAGAAGCCUAGAUGAGAACAACUUACUGCUGGGGGCAGGGGACCAGGCCAUCAGCCUCGUCUCUAGAACCUCCUGCAACCAACGCCCAUCUUCCAGCCCUGACUCAACAUAGCCCCAGAGUGAGAGGCUUUGAAUGCUUGUUUCCCUCUUGGCAGCUUGAGUAGGUUUGCCCUGAAGGUCCACUAGCUUCCUCCCAGGAACAAGCUUCAUGGAGUUUGAUUGACGUUUCCAAACAGGACAGAUAUCCUGACUCACCUGGGCUGGCGCCCGCUGAGACAGUCUGCGGAAACCAGAAAUGGGUUCCUUGCCCACAGCCAGGACCACCGCAGUGCCUCUCAUCAGGCCUGCCCCUAAUGUCAGAGGAUCCCAUGACAAGAAGGCAAAAGGAGGCCCACAUGCCACCUGUCCAAAUAUUUAAAAGUUGUGAAUCAGGCCAACAAAGUGCUAUAUGCAUUCCAUCCUUCUACCUUGACAAACGCACCUUUUUAAUGGCAAGAUCAAAAAAUACAUAUGUGUAAAUGUGUAUAAAACUACGUGUAUGGCUAUGUAAUUCCUGUUACUGAAAUUGGCAAUGUAGUAAAUAUGACCGAAUUUAAUCAUAAUUGUUUCUGGAUACCCUGUAGAUGGGCCAGCGAUGUUUGAAUGAAUAUAAUAAAAAUAUUUAAAAAUUAAAAUAGUUUUUAUAUGUUUCCAAAGAGUUAAUUUUGAGCAUUUUAGAAGAAAAGUAUAUUAAAAUUAAAAAGUACCCAUGAACCUCCCUCCCCAUUUAUUUAGAUCUUUAAUGUUUUUCAAAAGAGUUUUAUAAUUUUCUCCAUAAAGCACUUACAUAGUUUUUGUUAGAUUUAUUCAUUUCAGUUUAUAUUUUUGCAUGAUUAUCUUUUUAAUAAUUACUUUUUUAUUUGUUACUGAUUGUAGAAAGUCAUUGACUUUUGUGUAUUAACUUCUUAUUCAGCCACCUUGCGGACUUAUUAAAACUAAUAAUUUCUCUAUAGAUUUUUAUGUUUUCCAUGUAGCAAUAAUAUAUAUGAAUAUUGAAUGUUUGAUUUAUUGUUUUCCAAUCCUUAUACCUUUAGUUCUCUUUCUCCAAUACAGUGCUGAAUGAAAAUGUUAGCAGACAUUCUUUUUUUGGCCUCAAAGGGAAAACAUUCAAUGUUUCACAUUAAAUAGGAUUUUUGUUGCCAAUUUUCUGUAGAUACUCUUUAGGGGUUGAGGAAAUUCUACUAGAUUUCUAAGGAUUUUUUUUAUAUUUAUUUUUUUCAUGAAUGAAUAUUUAAAUUUAUCAAAAAUUUUCCAUUUACUGAGAUGAUCAUGUCAUUUUUCUCCUUAAAUCUUUGAAUUAUAUGAAUUGGUCUUCGAACAUUAAAACAGUCUUGGAUUCCUGCAAUAAGCUGAACUUGGUCAAGAUUGUUUUAUACGUUGCUGGAAUUGUUUGCUGAUUUUUUAAGAAGAGUUUUGUGUCUAUGUUCGUCAGUGAAAUUGUCUCAUAAUUUUUCUUUCGUACACUGUUCAUAUCAGUUUUGGUAUUAAUUUUAGUAUAAAAUAAAUUGGGGAGUGUUUCUUCCUUUACUAUAAUUUUAAAGAGUUAAUAUUGGAGUUAAAUAUUGGAGUUAUUGGGCUUCCCUGGUGACGCAGUGGUUGAGAGUCCGCCUGCCGAUGCAGUGGACACGGGUUCGUGCCCCGGUCCAGGAAGAUCCCAUAUGCCGCAGAGCAGCUAGGCCUGUGAGCCAUGGCCGCUGAGCCCGUGCGUCCGGAGCCUGUGCUCCGCAACGGGAGAGGCCACAACAGUGAGAGGCCCGCGUACCACAAAAAAAAAAAAAAAAAAAAAAAAAAAAAAAUUGGAGUUAUUU